AAUGGCACCUGCAUCAGUGAUACCGCGUGAGUGAAGAAGGCCUCCGGGUUGUAAAGCUCUUUCGCAAGGGAAGAAACGAUACAGUCUAAUAAACUGUGUUAAUGACGGUACCUUGAUAAGAAGCACCGGCUAACUACGUGCCAGCAGCCGCGGUAAUACGUAGGGUGCGAGCGUUAAUCGGAAUUACUGGGCGUAAAGCGUGCGCAGGCGGUUUUGAAAGUCAGAUGUGAAAUCCCCGGGCUCAACCUGGGAACUGCGUUUGAAACUCCAAAGCUAGAGUAUGGGAGAGGGGGGUAGAAUUCCACGUGUAGCAGUGAAAUGCGUAGAGAUGUGGCGGCAUACCAAUGGCGAACGCAGCCCCCUGGCUUACAUACUGACGCUCAUGCACGACAGCGUGGGGAGCCAACACGCUCAGAUACCCUGGUAGUCCACGCCCUAAACCGAUGUCUACUCAGUUGUUGGGACGAGUACCAUCUCUUCAGU
rnacentral:rRNA from 1 species